GAUGAAGAACGUAGUGAAAUGCGAUAAGUAAUGUGAAUUGCAGAAUUCAGUGAACCAUCGAAUCUUUGAACGCACAUUGCGCCCCCUGGUAUUCCGGGGGGCAUGCCUGUCCGAGCGUCAUUACAACCCUCAAGCUCAGCUUGGUGUUGGGCCCCGCCGCCCCGGCGGGCCCUAAAGUCAGUGGCGGUGCCGUCCGGCUCCGAGCGUAGUAAUUCUUCUCGCUCUGGAGGUCCGGUCGUGUGCUCGCCAGCAACCCCCAAUUUUUUUCAGGUUGACCUCGGAUCAGGUAGGGAUACCCGCUGAACUUAAGCAUAUCAAUAAGCGGAGGA
rnacentral:misc_RNA from 1 species